AACCGACUUCCAUUUCGCGUACGUUCGCGACCUCAUGUUUUUUGCCAAUAUUAUGAAAAUGAAAAAUCCAUUAGAAUCAUAAUUUACACUAAGAAAAGAACUCACCAAAUGCUAUCGGAAACAAGAAAAAAAAGUAUCAGAAAAUGUUUUUUCCUUUAAUUUUUUGGCACGAACGUACGUUUGCGACCCCAGGAAAUGCCCAUAUACUAAUUACAAUUUUUAUUUCUUUUAGUGUAACACAAUAUAACCCACGACCAAAUUCAAAUAGUUGUGGAAGCGCUAGCCGAGCAGAAAACGGAUAUUGAAUUGCUUCAGCGAGGUCACAUAAAUGUGAAUGAACUGCGAAGCCAGUUCCCAAUAAAAAACGGAGAGGAGCUUAAUAUUCUUAAUUCUAAAAUAAACGAGGACAACAAAAAUAACUAUGUGUCAAUUAUAAGGCAUUUGUAGCAGCCUGGUGGAGUUGCUAAAAAACUUGAAAAAUAUAAUAAGCGAUUCUUUAAUGAUGGAUUAUAACGUAGAUGGAGUGCAGGGGAAAUCCUCAUUAAAAACAGCGCAAAAUGUAUUUUUUGUACUACUUGGUAAGAAUUUAAAAACAAUAUUGGUUUUAAUUUUAAUAAUGAUUUUUUUUAUAAUAUAAGAUGCAAUUACUGCUGAUGGCGGCAAUGGAACCGCAGACAGCAUACUUCGCCGGGCUAUUCAAUUGAAAAAAGGAAAUUUAAAAAAAAAUAUGCCUCAAAAAACAACGACAACAACAGAAACAAAAACACAAUUUUUUCACACAUAACACAAGUAUUUUUAAGCCAAAUGAAAUGGUCUAAUUCUGUGAAUUUAUGAUAUGUAAAAUAAUUUUAUAAAUUUUUAAAAAUGAAUAAAAUGUAUUAAUAAAAUGUAA